rnacentral:rRNA from 1 species
UCCGGUGUCUCAAGCGAAAGGGAAACACCCGAUCUCAUUUCGAACUCGGCAGUUAAGCCUUUCAGCGCUGAUGGUAGCUCCUUGUGAGCAAGAGUAGGCCGAUGCCGGGA